UCAGCCUGCUUCCGGACGGGCGAGGAGACUCGUGAUCUGGUUCUAGGACUUCCCGAACAGCAUGGCCCCUAAAGGGCAGUCUUCACUCCUGCCUCAAAAGAAGAAACCAAGACCACCGCCUGCUCUGGGACCGGAGGAGACACCGGCUUCUGCAGGCUUGCCGAAGAAGGGAGAAAAAGAACAGCAAGAAGCAAUUGAACACAUUGAUGAAGUACAAAAUGAAAUAGACAGACUUAAUGAACAAGCCAGUGAGGAGAUUUUGAAAGUAGAACAGAAAUAUAACAAACUCCACCAACCAUUUUUUCAGAAGAGGUCAGAAUUGAUUGCCAAAAUCCCAAAUUUUGGGGUAACAACAUUUGUCAACCAUCCACAAGUGUCUGCACUGUUUGGGGAGGAAGACGAAGAGGCACUGCAUUAUUUGACCAGAGUUGAAGUGACAGAAUUUGAAGAUAUUAAAUCAGGUUACAGAAUAAAUUUUUAUUUUGAUGAAAAUCCUUACUUUGAAAAUAAAGUUCUCUCCAAAGAAUUUCAUCUGAGUGAGAGUGGUGGUCCAUCUUCAAAGUCCACCGAAAUCAAAUGGAAAUCUGGAAAGGAUUUGACGAAAAGUUCAAGUCAAACGCAGAAUAAAGCCAGCAGGAAGAGGCAGCAUGAGGAACCAGAGAGCUUCUUUACCUGGUUUACUGACCUUUCUGAUGCAGGUGCUGAUGCGUUAGGAGAGGUCAUCAAAGAUGAUAUUUGGUCAAACCCAUUACAGUACUACUUGGUUCCUGAUAUGGAUGAUGAAGAAGGAGAAGGAGAAGAUGAUGAUGAUGAUGAUUAAGAGGAGGAAAGAUUAGAAGAUAUUGAUGAAGAAGGGGAUGAGGAUGAAGGUGAAGAAGAUGAAGAUGAUGAUGAAGGGGAGGAAAGAGAGGAGGAUGAAGGAGAAGAUAACUAAUAGAACACUGAUGAAUUCCAACCUUCCUUUUUUUAAAUUUUCUCCAGUCCCUGGGAGCAAGUUGCAGUCUUUUUUUUUUUUUUCCUCUUGUGCUCAGUCGCCCUGUUCUUGAGGUCUCUUUUCUCUACUCCAUGGUUCUCAACUUUUUUUGGGGGAAAUACCUUGAGCACAAUACAAUGGGAAAAGAGUCUCUACCCCUUUCUGUUCGAAGUUCACUUUUACCCCUUCCUGUCUCAACAAAAACUGUAUGGAAUCAACACCACCGAGCUCUGUGGGAUAAAAGAAAAACCUGCUCCCUUCGCUUUGCUGGAAGCUGGA